rnacentral:rRNA from 1 species
CCGUCGCUACUACCGAUUGAAUGAUUUAGUGAGGUCUUCGGACCGAUACCCGGAGCGGCCUUUUGGUGCGCCGGUCUGUUAGAAAGAUGACCAAACGUGAUCAUUUAGAGGAACUAAAAGUCGUA